AACGAACGCUGGCGGCAUGCCUAACACAUGCAAGUCGAACGAGACCUUCGGGUCUAGUGGCGCACGGGUGCGUAACGCGUGGGAACCUGCCCUUAGGUUCGGAAUAACUCCCCGAAAGGGGUGCUAAUACCGGAUAAUGUCUUCGGACCAAAGAUUUAUCGCCUUUGGAUGGGCCCGCGUUGGAUUCGCUAGUUGGUAGGGUAAAAGCCUACCAAGGCGACGAUCCAUAGCUGGUCUGAGAGGAUGAUCAGCCACACUGGGACUGAGACACGGCCCAGACUCCUACGGGAGGCAGCAGUGGGGAAUAUUGGACAAUGGGCGAAAGCCUGAUCCAGCAAUGCCGCGUGAGUGAUGAAGGCCUUAGGGUUGUAAAGCUCUUUUACCCGGGAUGAUAAUGACAGUACCGGGAGAAUAAGCUCCGGCUAACUCCGUG
rnacentral:rRNA from 1 species